GAGGAUCGUUAGUCACGUGAGCGUUCUCGCGCUGUGUCUCUGAAGGGUGGUGAAUAGGCGCCAUUUUGGUGCUGUGGGGGGAUGCUGAUGUGUUGUUAUUAGAGGCUUGGGGUGCUGCUGUGUGAGCGGCCCCAGAGCUGUGGGGAUGGGAUUGGAAAGCCCUGGAGAGAGGAUGGGAAGGGGCCCUCGAUUGGGGAUGUAUAGUAGUAGUGGCAGCUGUGAGGAAAGGAGCCAGCUGUAGUGGAUGUGGGCACAGGGCCUGCUGGGCUGGGGCAUAGAGGAGGGUGCAGCGGGGCUGUGACUGGUUUGUACUGGCUUGUCCUGGGUACUGCAGGUCAGCACUGGGCGGAAUUGGCGUUCAGGCUCAUCUCCACAGCAGAAGAAGGAAAGGUAGCUGUGAAUGGCACUGUGUACAAAUGAAGAGUAGGGGAGGAAAGUUUCCCAGUGUUGCAUGGCUGAGAUUCAAGGACCAUGUUCAGUGCAGGCAGCUUCAGAAACACUCCCUAUAUCCUGGAUAACAUUUCCUGCCAGUGAGAUGAUUGUGCUGCUGUAUUUUGUCUUCUUUUAGGCAACAUCAGAGAACAUAUAUUGCAUUUCUUACGGUGUUUGUUUGUUUAUAUAUAUGUAUGUAUCAGGGACCAAUCUCUACUGGGGUAUAAAAACUAUGUUGGUCAUGACAGUAAAAAGAUGCCUGUAGUUAAAUGUAUUUUGGUAGCCAUUGGUAUGUUUUUAAUUAUGUGGGUUCUUGAGAUAAUUCUGCUGGUGUAAAAGCAUCAGUUGGAUUAACAAAACAUCUCCAGAAGAACUCUUCAUGGUGACUAAUUUACAAAUAUCUGGAUCCUAUUUGACUGUGGUUCUUACUGGAGCCUGGCAAUAGCCUGUUUGACCUUUGGUAGAAGCCAGGUUGAUGGAGGGUACGGUCACAGCAGCUUCUGGUGAGCACUUCUGGCUGUGAAGCUCCAGAGGGCUCAUGGAGAGCAGCUGAAAAGGCUUCCUGUGUGUCCUACCCUGGGUGUGCUGGUGGUUUCAUUACUCUCUGAUUUAAAAUGCUGCAGUGCUGGGUAGCAGGGAGAAGAGGACGUGGGUAACAGCACAAAAAGCCACCUAUACUGUCAGCUGGAGCCGAAGCGUAUGGGAGCAAUGCCGGGCUGGCCCGCCUGGUGGCAAACUGCUGUCACUGGCAGCACCUCUCUGCUGAGCAAGUUUGGAAACAACGAGCGCGCUCACUGGGAUUUCAGGCUGUAAUCUCAUCUCUCUGCGCUUUGAGGCUUUCAGGGGCCUGCUCAUCCCUCUACAAU
rnacentral:lncRNA from 1 species